rnacentral:rRNA from 1 species
UACGGGGGGAGCAAGCGUUGUUCGGAUUUACUGGGCGUAAAGGGCGCGUAGGCGGCCUGUGCAAGUCAGUUGUGAAAUCUCCGAGCUUAACUCGGAACGGUCAACUGAUACUGCUCGGCUAGAGUGCGGAAGGGGCAACUGGAAUUCUCGGUGUAGCGGUGAAAUGCGUAGAUAUCGAGAGGAACACCGGUGGCGAAGGCGGGUCUCUGGGCAGUAACUGACGCUGAGGAGCGAAAGCGUGGGGAGCGAACAGG